UACGUAGGCAGCGAGCGUUGUUCGGAGUUACUGGGCGUAAAGCGUGCGUAGGCGGUGGCCCAAGUCUGGUGUGAAAUCUCCCGGCUUAACUGGGAGGGUGCGCCGGAAACUGGGUUGCUGGAGUACCGGAGAGGCAAGCGGAAUUCCUGGUGUAGCGGUGAAAUGCGUAGAUAUCAGGAGGAACACCGAUGGCGAAGGCAGCUCGCUGGGACGGUACUGACGCUGAGACGCGAAAGCGUGGGGAGCAAACAGG
rnacentral:rRNA from 1 species